rnacentral:siRNA from 1 species
GGUCUCGGGGUGAAACGCCGUACU